rnacentral:snRNA from 1 species
GUGCUCACUUCAGCAGUACAUAUACUAAAAUUGGAACAAUAUAGAGAAGAUUAGCAUGGCCCCGGCACAAGGGUGACACGCAAAUUUGUGCAGUGUUGUUCCAUAUUUUA